rnacentral:rRNA from 1 species
UUGGAAGAAAAUUGAUCCUGGCUCAGGACGAACGCUGGCGGCGUGCCUAAUACAUGCAAGUCGAGCGAACAGAAAAGGAGCUUGCUCCUUUGACGUUAGCGGCGGACGGGUGAGUAACACGUGGGCAACCUACCCUAUAGUUUGGGAUAACUCCGGGAAACCGGGGCUAAUACCGAAUAAUCUCUUUUGCUUCAUGGUGAAAGACUGAAAGACGGUUUCGGCUGUCGCUAUAGGAUGGGCCCGCGGCGCAUUAGCUAGUUGGUGAGGUAACGGCUCACCAAGGCGACGAUGCGUAGCCGACCUGAGAGGGUGAUCGGCCACACUGGGACUGAGACACGGCCCAGACUCCUACGGGAGGCAGCAGUAGGGAAUCUUCCACAAUGGGCGAAAGCCUGAUGGAGCAACGCCGCGUGAGUGAAGAAGGUUUUCGGAUCGUAAAACUCUGUUGUAAGGGAAGAACAAGUACAGUAGUAACUGGCUGUACCUUGACGGUACCUUAUUAGAA